GUGACGCCUCGCCCCAUCGCAUCCGCAGCCAUGGCGCCAUGCCCGACAGUACUGCCACGCUCCCUGCGUCCCUGCUCGAGUUCAUCGAAGCCGCAGUCCGCAGGUGGAUCCCCAGCAUGACUGCACACCAGGAUCAGGAACACGACCAAGAAGCCUCGCCAUAUCGGCACUGUCGCCGUCCUUGCUGCUGCCGCUGCCAUCAGCGGGGGCGAGCCAUUCCACGUGUUCGUGGGGCAAAUCACGAACAUGAAACAAUAGUAAUGCUGCAAAUUUGUGUGCGCUCUGCCUCCUCUGCGCUUCUUCUUUACAAUACCAUGGUCACUCAUUUGGAGUUUUUUUUUCCACCUCAACAGUUAUACCUUUGAGUCUGAACUUCCCAGGAUUGCUUACCUGUUGCCUUCAUAUAUUGUCAAAUUGACCGUUCCCCACCUUGACAUUGAAGGCCUGAUGCAAUAUUUCAUCUUUGGUUUCACCGAACAGUCACCUGCGCUUGGAUCUAUUCUCUUGGAACUUGGAGCAAGACACCCGCCUCUUCGAAUUCUGUGGCCACAUCAAGGACAAGUGGACAACAGACAUAAGUUCAGAUAUCCAUUUCCAUCUGCUUUUUAGCUGCCAAAUUUAUGUGUUUAGAAUGUGCACCUCUUUGUCAAAAUUAAUAUGUUCAUAGCAUAUUUUCAUUUGUUUAAAAUGUAUGUGAUUGUGUACAAGACAAAUGGAAGCACAUGGAAGGUCAUCAGCAUGGUUGAAUCGUUUUUGAGGUGCUUUUGUGCUGAUGAACUUUGGUCAUGAGUUGGAGCUGUUUGCCAUCCAAAGUAGGCUCUGAAAUAGGGAUGUUAGGAUCAACAGUAUACUACAUGUAUAAUCUUUAACUAUCCUUGCUUCGGACAUUCAGGUAGAUAAGGUUAUUGUAAUCAAUUCGUAUUCUUUGUUAAGACAGACAAAAGUAUAUGUGUUACACUUGCAUAAUGUUGAUCCUCCA